GAUGAACGCUGGCGGCGUGCCUAAUACAUGCAAGUCGAGCGAACGGACGAGAAGCUUGCUUCUCUGAUGUUAGCGGCGGACGGGUGAGUAACACGUGGAUAACCUACCUAUAAGACUGGGAUAACUUCGGGAAACCGGAGCUAAUACCGGAUAAUAUUUUGAACCGCAUGGUUCAAAAGUGAAAGACGGUCUUGCUGUCACUUAUAGAUGGAUCCGCGCUGCAUUAGCUAGUUGGUAAGGUAACGGCUUACCAAGGCAACGAUGCAUAGCCGACCUGAGAGGGUGAUCGGCCACACUGGAACUGAGACACGGUCCAGACUCCUACGGGAAGCAGCAGUAGGGAAUCUUCCGCAAUGGGCGAAAGCCUGACGGAGCAACGCCGCGUGAGUGAUGAAGGUCUUCGGAUCGUAAAACUCUGUUAUUAGGGAAGAACAUAUGUGUAAGUAACUGUGCACAUCUUGACGGUACCUAAUCAGAAAGCCACGGCUAACUACGUGCCAGCAGCCGCGGUAAUACGUAGGUGGCAAGCGUUAUCCGGAAUUAUUGGGCGUAAAGCGCGCGUAGGCGGUUUUUUAAGUCUGAUGUGAAAGCCCACGGCUCAACCGUGGAGGGUCAUUGGAAACUGGAAAACUUGAGUGCAGAAGAGGAAAGUGGAAUUCCAUGUGUAGCGGUGAAAUGCGCAGAGAUAUGGAGGAACACCAGUGGCGAAGGCGACUUUCUGGUCUGUAACUGACGCUGAUGUGCGAAAGCGUGGGGAUCAAACAGGAUUAGAUACCCUGGUAGUCCACGCCGUAAACGAUGAGUGCUAAGUGUUAGGGGGUUUCCGCCCCUUAGUGCUGCAGCUAACGCAUUAAGCACUCCGCCUGGGGAGUACGACCGCAAGGUUGAAACUCAAAGGAAUUGACGGGGACCCGCACAAGCGGUGGAGCAUGUGGUUUAAUUCGAAGCAACGCGAAGAACCUUACCAAAUCUUGACAUCCUUUGACAACUCUAGAGAUAGAGCUUUCCCCUUCGGGGGACAAAGUGACAGGUGGUGCAUGGUUGUCGUCAGCUCGUGUCGUGAGAUGUUGGGUUAAGUCCCGCAACGAGCGCAACCCUUAAGCUUAGUUGCCAUCAUUAAGUUGGGCACUCUAAGUUGACUGCCGGUGACAAACCGGAGGAAGGUGGGGAUGACGUCAAAUCAUCAUGCCCCUUAUGAUUUGGGCUACACACGUGCUACAAUGGACAAUACAAAGGGCAGCGAAACCGUGAGGUCAAGCAAAUCCCAUAAAGUUGUUCUCAGUUCGGAUUGUAGUCUGCAACUCGACUACAUGAAGCUGGAAUCGCUAGUAAUCGUAGAUCAGCAUGCUACGGUGAAUACGUUCCCGGGUCU
rnacentral:rRNA from 1 species